ACUCCGUGCCAGCAGCCGCGGUAAUUCCAGCUCUAAUAGCGUAUAUUAAAGUUGUUGUGGUUAAAACGCCCGUAGUUGGAUCUUCGGUCUUGAGGCUCGGUAGCUCGUAAGGGCUUAACUGAGUCCUCUGGCCUAAAUUUUAGUAUUCUCCUGAUGCUCUUUAUUGAGUGUCUUGAGUUGCUAGAACGUUUACUUUGAAAAAAUUAGAGUGCUAAAAGCAGGCUAUAUGCUUGAAUAAAGUGCAUGGAAUAAUGGAAUAGGACUUUAGUUUUAUUUUGUUGGUUUUCGAAAUUAAAGUAAUGAUUAAGAGGAACAGACGGGGGCAUUCGUAUUGUUGCGUUAGAGGUGAAAUUCUUGGAUCGCAGCAAGACGAACAACUGCGAAAGCAUUUGCCAAGAAUGUUUUCAUUAAUCAAGGACGAUAGUUAGAGGUUCGGAGGCGAUCAGAUACCGCCCUAGUUCUAACCGUAAACGAUGCCAACUAGCGAUCCGUCGGUGUUAAGAUUUGACUCGGCGGGCAGUUUCCGGGAAACCAAAGUUUUCUGGUUCCGGGGGAAGUAUGGUUGCAAAGCUUAAACUUAAAGGAAUUGACGGAAGGGCACCACCAGGAGUGGAGCCUGCGGCUUAAUUUGACUCAACACGGGGAAACUCACCCGGCCAGGACACAAUAAGGAUUGACAGAUUGAUAGCUCUUUCUUAAUUUUGUGGGUGGUGGUGCAUGGCCGUUCUUAGUUGGUGGAGCGAUUUGUCUGGUUAAUUCCGAUAACGAACGAGACUCUAGCCUAUUAAAUAGACGAUAAAUUUUUAGUAUAUCGAGCUUCUUAGAGGGACAAGCAGCUUCUAGCUGCACGAGAUUGAGCAAUAACAGGUCUGUGAUGCCCUUAGAUGUCCGGGGCUGCACGCGCGCUACAAUGAAAAUAGCAGCGUGCUUUAAAACCUUUUCUGGUAAGAAUUGGUAAACACGAAAUAUUUUCGUGCUUGGGAUAGGGGAUUGCAAAUAUUGCCCUUAAACGAGGAAUUCCCAGUAAGUGCAAGUCAUUAGCUUGCGUUGAUUACGUCCCUGCCCUUUGUACACACCGCCCGUCGCUACUACCGAUUGGAAGAUUUAGUGAAUUCUUCGGACUGGACUCGAAGUGAUGUAAAAGUCGCUACGAGAUUCGGAAAGAUGAAUGAACCAAAUUUUCUAGAGGA
rnacentral:rRNA from 1 species